UCUUUAUCACAACACAUAAUAAUAAAUAAUAAAUAAUAAUCCAAAUUGUUAACAUCGUAAGUUAAUAAUAUCAAAUUGUUCAAAUACAGCAAAAACCUUUGACAUGUACCUAUUAUGGGCUAAUAUAGAUUAGACGAUGUAUUUAUAUAAUAUCUCAUAAAAGUACCAAAUAAUAUUAUGAUAUUAUGUUGUUACAUACUUCUAUCAAAAUGUUUACAAGAAUUCAAUGUAUCUUAUAGAAGCAAAAAUACAUUGAAAAUGUCGCAUUACAAGAUUUUGAUACGUGUUCAUAGAAUUAUCUAAGUAUAUUUAGCACCUUACCUUUUUAGUGUUAUUGUUGUAUGCACAAUGCACAUUAAGGUAGAUUUCUUAUUAUUUUUUUUAAUUAUAAAAAGUAGUCUAAUAAAUAAAAUCGACCUUUACCUGUUUCAGCAACAGUUCACUAAAAAUAAAUAUUUUGCAAUAUUUAUAAUGCGUCAUCUAAAUCAAGAUAGGUAUAACGCACUUUCAAUAACUGAAGUCUGCUCGUCCUUUCAUUUGUUUCUAGGGAGGACAUUAAGACGGUCAAUGAAUCAUCAGCUGAUAUUCUUUCAAUAUUUCUAGACCUGGUGGAAUUUGAUGAUCAAUCUAAAAGAAAAUUGCUUCUUCUCAAAAGAAACAUUGAAAGGCUGUUGAAAAUUAAAAAUAGAAGUUUGUAACUGCUGUCACUGGAAUAUGGAGAACACCCACUGCCACGCCGGAGCAACUAAUCUAAAAAAGGAGCCGACCGACGAAACCAGCGAGACCCAAGACGCCACCCGACCACCCAAGGACUAGAUACGACGACCAGAGCGGCCAAUACGAACGCCUAAUCGUCCUACGCCGCUGCUCGCAUUCAGUACGGAGGUCGAGGACUACGAAGAGUCGCCGAACACACGGUGGAGCCAGCCACGACGAGCGAUCCAAGUUCACGGGAUUCCAAAGACCACUGUCGGACCAGAUUGUCAACGAACCCGUGCUCAGAACUCGUAGAACAAACGCACAAAUCCCCCCAAGCGCGCCUGCAUAGGCCACGCUACCCGUUCGGGAAUACGAACCAACGCCACUUAUUUGAGCGGGCCGGAUGUAUCCACCCGGAUCUUCCUCAACUGUAAAUAACUGUAAAUAACUCAUUCCCCUCAUUGUCAAGGUGGUCUCGACCCCGUGAACCAUACCAUACGGUCACGCGGACGUGAACCAUCAUCCCCAUACCUUAUAUAACAUUAUAUAUAAAAAAUAAAGACACGUUGAUUAC